CGCUGGCGGCGUGCUUAACACAUGCAAGUCGAACGAUGAGGCCCAGCUUGCUGGGCCGAUUAGUGGCGAACGGGUGAGUAACACGUGAGUAACCUGCCCCCGACUCUGGGAUAAGCCCGGGAAACUGGGUCUAAUACCGGAUAUUCUCCCUCCGCCGCAUGGCGGGGGGUGGAAAGCGGUUUAGCGGUCGGGGAUGGACUCGCGGCCUAUCAGCUUGUUGGCGGGGUAACGGCCCACCAAGGCGACGACGGGUAGCCGGCCUGAGAGGGUGACCGGCCACACUGGGACUGAGACACGGCCCAGACUCCUACGGGAGGCAGCAGUGGGGAAUAUUGCACAAUGGGCGAAAGCCUGAUGCAGCGACGCCGCGUGAGGGAUGACGGCCUUCGGGUUGUAAACCUCUUUCAGUAGGGAAGAAGCGAAAGUGACGGUACCUGCAGAAGAAGCGCCGGCUAACUACGUGCCAGCAGCCGCGGUAAUACGUAGGGCGCAAGCGUUAUCCGGAAUUAUUGGGCGUAAAGAGCUCGUAGGCGGUUUGUCGCGUCUGCCGUGAAAGUCCGGGGCUCAACCCCGGAUCUGCGGUGGGUACGGGCAGACUAGAGUGAUGUAGGGGAGACUGGAAUUCCUGGUGUAGCGGUGAAAUGCGCAGAUAUCAGGAGGAACACCGAUGGCGAAGGCAGGUCUCUGGGCAUUAACUGACGCUGAGGAGCGAAAGCAUGGGGAGCGAACAGGAUUAGAUACCCUGGUAGUCCAUGCCGUAAACGUUGGGCACUAGGUGUGGGGGACAUUCCACGUUUUCCGCGCCGUAGCUAACGCAUUAAGUGCCCCGCCUGGGGAGUACGGCCGCAAGGCUAAAACUCAAAGGAAUUGACGGGGGCCCGCACAAGCGGCGGAGCAUGCGGAUUAAUUCGAUGCAACGCGAAGAACCUUACCA
rnacentral:rRNA from 1 species